rnacentral:tRNA from 1 species
ACGUCCUUAGUUCAGUUGGUAGAACGUAGGUUUCCAAAACCUAAUGUCGAGGGUUCAAGUCCUUCAGGACGUG